rnacentral:rRNA from 1 species
UAUCUCUGUAGAGUCUGCAUAUCAAUAAGCGGAGGAAAAGAAACUAACUAGGAUUCCCUUAGUAACGGCGAGUGAAGCGGGAAGAGCUCAAAUUUGAAAUCUUCAAGGUUCUACCUUGACGAAUUGUAGUUUAAAGAAGUGUUUUCGGUUAGAGGAGUAGUAAAAGUUCUUUGGAAUAGGACAUCAUAGAGGGUGAGAAUCCCGUAUUUGACUAUUCUUUCUAGCUUUGUGAUACACAUUCAAAGAGUCGGAUUGUUUGGGAAUGCAGUCCAAAAUGGGUGGUAAAUUUCAUCUAAAGCUAAAUAUUGGCGAGAGACCGAUAGCGAACAAGUACCGUGAGGGAAAGAUGAAAAGAACUUUGAAAAGAGAGUUAAACAGUACGUGAAAUUGUCAAAAGGGAAGCGUUUGACACCAGUGUUGUUUUUCUCGAAAAUCAAUUAAAAGAUGGCUGGAUUUGUAGUUGUCAUGACCUUAAAAGCCUGUUGCUUAUUUUUCCGGUCUUUCUUAAUGCACUUUUCGGUUAACAAGUCAACAUCAAUUUCUUUUGUUGUAAAAGGUUAAGAGGAAGGUGGCUUUACUUUCGGGUAAAGUGUUUAUAGCCUUUUAACUCUGCAAUCGGAGAGAUUGAGGUCUGCAGCGUAGGUCCUUCGGGGCUAGAUACGUUUGUGCUAAGUUAUAGCUUUUCAUAGACAACUUGUUGACUAUGUUUAGUCUUGUAGCUUACUCGCUUAUGCUAUUUUACCUACGCUUAGGAUGUUGAUGUGAUACUGCGAGCA